UGGAGAUGUCUCAGGGCUCACCUCUCCCUCCCUUUUCUCUCUCCCCUUAGGCUAAGACCCUAGAUGUGAAGGGCAGUUCUGCCAGCAGAUACAACUCUCCAAUGGAGAACCAGAUCUUCACACACAGAACAGAAAGUCCCCAGGAUUCCUUUGCAAUGAGAUCCAAAAGUGCGCUGAAAAGAGCCUCAACCCCCACAGAACUUCUGAGGCCGAAGCGGUACCGGUGGACAGUGCCUGACCACAGUGAGGUGGAACUGAAGGUCCACUCCUCCACCAAACAGCCAGGGCAGUUUGAGCAGACACUGAGGUUUGAGCUCGUGGAGUCAAAGCGCCAGUACGAGCUGCCCUGCAGUGGCACGGGCCUGUACCCCAGCAUCAGCCAGAACACACGGUAAGGCUGGCCCCUGGCAGCCUCCCACACUGCUGCCCCUGAGCUCACAGCCAGGGCUGC
rnacentral:lncRNA from 12 species